rnacentral:tRNA from 1 species
GGCUGGAUCACCUCCUUAAUCGACGACUCAGCUGCACCAUAAGCACCCACACGAAUUGCUUGAUUCAUUGAAGAAGACGAUGAGAAGCAGCUUUUGCUUUGCACACCCGAUUUUGGGUCUGUAGCUCAGUUGGUUAGAGCGCACCCCUGAUAAGGGUGAAGUCGGCAGUUCGAAUCUGCCAGACCCACCAGUUCCUGGUGAAGUUGGUCAAACGCGUCACACCCGGAUCCGGGCCAUAGCUCACUGGAAACCCCUUCUUGACUUUGGAGGCAACGGUCAAUUCGAGCGCAACUUGGUUACAGGCACUUUUAAAGGUCUGUAUCAUGCCCAUUAAAAGCUGGUUACCGGUGUACAUCACCUGCUGAAGGUAGCUGAUGUAAUUCCUAGCCCUUUUUAAUAAGCCCUUAAUUGAUUGACAAGUAGUUAUCAUGUUUUAUACUUGAGCGAUCAGCGUUAAUCUAUCUAACGUGUCGUUGAGGUAGGCGGGACUUCGAGUCCCUAAAUAAUUGAGUGGUAUGUUCCCGCAAGUGAGGUGCUUGGUACCCCCACACACACCACAUGUAACUCCGAGGCAACUUGGGGUUAUA